UUACAUGGUUUAGCACAGGAGUGUCAGUCACAAAUGUACACUUAUCCUUGGACUUUUUAAACUCUUCUUUAUAACGGAUCUAAAAAAGAGAAUGAUUUACAUAAGAAGAGAAAAAGAAAAACAAUUCUAAUGGCCUUUUUUGAAUGAGAAUUAGGUUGAUAAAGUCCAUUUACUGAAGUAAAUACUCAAAUGUGAAAGGGGCCUCAAAACAAGCCAAGUUAAAUAAACGGAUAUCCAGCACAGGAUUGCAAAGAUGAUGAGGCAUAGUGAGGAAAGACCAUUCUUUAGAUAAGCGAGGGCCCAGUUAAGCAUCAACACCAGGCGUGCUGGCUACGGGUGAUGGGUCCUGUUUACGCAGCCUGCCCAGUGCAAUUAGCAAGCAUGUGCCAUCUCACUCCUACAAGUGUCCUGGUGUUUUGUUGCUUUUAAGCCUUGACAGGUAAGCCUUUGGCCAAAAAGAAACACAGCUGCCUACGUCAAGGUAGAAAACAAGUAGUCAGCAUGACAGAUGUGACCAAUUAGGAAGCAGAGGCAGAAAUUAAAUGGGGAUCCCUAUUAGUGUUCUUUUUUUUUUUUUUUUUUUUUUUUUUUUAGAGGGAAGAGUAUUUUAUUAGUUUGGAAUUAAUGGCUUGUCUCAGUGAUGGAGUCUUUUUUUUUUUUUUUUUUUUCUUAUGGAGGACAGGAAGGCUGUGAGGAAUAUUUUAUGCACAGUAAGGCUGUCUACCCUCUGUGUCGAACUGAAGAAGAAAAAUGGAGAAACUCAGCCUUGUAUGAGUUCCCUUCUCCCAGAGGCCGGGAACGUCCAUGUGUGUAGUGCUUUUGAUUAGAUCUGCUGUUUUGCCCAUGGCUGUUAUCCAUAAAAACACUCUUCUCAUACACAUCAUUCAAGCCUCUGUACAUGAUGCAGUUGCUUCUUUCUUUCUUUUUUUUUUUUUUUUUUUCCCAUCAAAGCCAAACAGGGUGGUGUUUUUCCUUAGUAAAACCCCUCUUCUCUUUGGUUCUAUGCCUGGCUCUUCCCAAGGUGCUUGGAAAGAAAGGAAAAAGCAUAGCUGCCUUCCUAUUAGUGUUCUUACCUAGACAUGCUUGAUUAGAGGAAGAGGCUUAAAUUCUGGCCACCCUGGGCUUCCUAUUACUAAUUCCUCCCAAUUUAUGAGCACCCAUAGGCUUCCCAAUCCUCCUCCCUGGCGCAGAGAAGAACUGAACCUGCCCAGAAAGCUUGCUAUGUGGUGGAGAUCAUUCCAGAAGGCCUUCUUGCUGGAGAUCAGCAAGAGAAAGCCCACUGAGGCUUAGCUAAGCCUGCACAUCUCUUCUCUGCAACUCACAAGUCAAACGACUCACUCUCUUUCCCUAUGGGGAGAGGCCAGAAUUGUUAUGCUGGGGGAAGACCCAGGUGGAUAUUUGAGCCCAAAAGAAGUCAGGAAAUGUGGAGAAGGACCUAAAAUAUAAUCACACUGUCACACUAAUUGCUGCACAAUCUGGAAACUGGGAAGGCAAAACUAUGACUCGUUGAGAAGAUGGAGCAAUGAUGUCAUUACCAAGGAAUAAGCCACCAUACUAAUGACGACAGAAUAGAAGGAAAGGAGCCUGGGAGACUGUUAACACCCAUAGUACCCAGACUGAACCACCUACCAACAGGCUGUAUAUGUGGAGGCUGGGGAAACAAAAACCUAUUUGCAUAAUCAUGGAGUCGGGAAGAGAUGAACACAAUCUGCUCUGGUAAGCUGAUAGGAGCCAGCGCCACACAGCACUGCGAGUAACAACAAAAGCCUAUAUCUAAUGUUAAAUGGACCAAGAAAUGCCAAUCAACCUGAGGCAAAUGUAAAUGGGCAUCUCAAGGUAUACAGUUAUGCCCUGCUGCUAUUCUGUUCCUUACCUGUAUGUUGAUGAACUCAUUCUAAAUGGUAAGAUUUCAAACUUAUUUGUGCUACACUUUUUCUACUGAUCACCAGACACUGAGAUCAUAAAAUUUGUGUUUGUGGCACUCUUUUUAUUUUUAAUUUUUUGGGUACACAGUAGGUAUACAGGGGUACAUGAAAUGUUUUGAUCCAGGCAUAUAAUGCGUAAUAAUCACAUCAUGGAGAAUGGGGUAUCCAUCCCCUCAAGCAUUUAUCCUUUGAGUUACAAACAAUCCAACUACACUCUUUGCAUUAUUUUAAAAUAUACAAUUAUUAUUGACAGUCACCCUGUUGCUAUCAAAUAGUAGGUUUCGUUCAUUCUAUUUUUUUUGUACCCUUUAACAGUUCCUACCUCCCCACCACCACCCCCAGUACCAUGCCCAGUCUCUGGUAACCAUCCUCCUACUCUCUAUGUCCAUGAGCUCAAUUGUUUUGAUUUUUAGAUUCUACAAAUAAGUGAGAACAUGCAAUGUUUGUCUUUCUGGGUGGCACUCUUAGUAAUUUAGAUGCCUCUAAGAUAUUGUACACACAAAUGAAGCAAAUGAAAUGGAAAAUACUUUUAAGAGGCAGAUUUUCUUGUACCAAAAUAGAGCCUGCCUUUUCUACAUAGCUGUCUUCACACCAAAAAGGAUUAAAACUUAAAAUUUUCUUUGAGUAGGAUCUAAUACAUAAAAAUUUAGAAUACAGUAAAUGCUAAUUGAAAAUAGUAUUACAGUAGUGACUUCUAUACUAUACAGUCUCUGAUUUGCAAAAAGCUAAUGAAGAUAAUUUACAGAAUAACUCAACAGUUCUCUCAAUUGGGCUAGAAUAUUAGGAGAAAUUCACCACAAAAUAUUGGAACAAUAAUAUAUAUAAAAGAAAUACAGAAUUGUCAGAGGAAACAAUUUAUAUAAUGGCUUUAAGUCUUAAAAUAAGGAACCUAAUACAGCCCUGAUCCAAAGCACAUAUAGUGAUACUUCUGCAGGAAAAAAAAGUGUUUUAUAGAAUUAUAAUACUUGUCUAGUAUCAAAGCUUAAUUAAAAUAGUGAAUAAACAUGUCCUUUGUAUUUCACUGUGUGUCAGCAAAAAUAUCCCCUUUUCAGCAAACUUUACACUUAGGUAAAAAUUUUGACAUAAAAAAGAUCCUCAGGGUAGGACUGUACUUUAAAAAGUUGAAUUUUGGGGGCAGUUUGUCAUGGAAAGUCUUAAAGCAGCUUCUCUGUGCUUUUCAGAUGGAUAGAUUUAGAAGAAAUGAAUUGAGGACAUACUUUUUUUAAAUCAUCUAUAUAGUUAAGCAAAAUUGUCAUUUUCAGCUCAAGGUUCAUACAAAAGCAGUAUUUCUUUUAUAUAUGUUAUCAUGGCUCUGACAAUUCUUUAUAGUAUUUAUCUGCCAUGAUUUGACAAAGAUUAUAACUAACUCAUGAGCUAUUUAAUCAUGUAGCUUCUACUUAAGUUCCUUAUGUUAUACUCAAAAACUGAAACACAUGCAUCAGAUGUCAUGAGGUUGUAGUCCACAAUGACUGAUGGCAGAACUGUAUUCUAUUUUUUGGCCUGGCAAAAACACUACAGCUGACCAGACAAGGAUGACUAAGGACAGAAGAGAUUUGAAGGCCGCUAAACCCUCACUGCAUGAACCAUAGUCAGAGAGACACUGUUUGAAAAGGAGCAAGCACUGUAAGUAGCACAUUUGGUGUGGGCAGUGGAAAGCAUGACACACAGAAGGUGUCCUAAGACCUACCUUCAAAAUCCCUACACUGUAAAAAAUUAGACCGAUCUUCCUAGUUCUAAGAUUGUAUGAUUACCAAAUUUAUCUACCUAUCUACUCAUCACCAAGGUACAAGGAAUUCAAAGAUGAAAACCUCAUCUAUUAACAAAUUCUUUUGUCAAACCACUUUUCUUGUUUGGAGUUUUUUGUUGUUUGUUUUGGCCAAAGGGGAUAGAAGUAACCUAUGCUAAAGAGUAGGCAUUGGCCAGGCAUGGUGGUUCAUGCCUGUAAUCCCAGCACUUUGGGAGGUCAGGGUGGGAGGAUGGCUUGAGCCCAGGAGUUCAAGACCAGCCUGGGCAACACAGCAAGACCCUGUCUCUAAAAUAGAAAAACUAACUGGCUGUGGUGUUGUGAGCUUGUAGUUCCAGCUACUCGGGAGGCUGAGGUGGGAGGAUUGCUUGAGUCUGGGAGGUGGAGACUGCAGUGAGCUGUAAUUGUGCCACUGCACUCCAGCCUGGGCAACAGAGCAAGAUCCUGUCUCAAAAAAUAAAAACAAAAUAUAAAGAGUAAGGAAAGAGUAAGCACUGCAGUAAGUCCUUUACAUAUCUCAUAAAACACUCAUAAACUCUCUGGAAAGUAAAUUCUAUCAGGAUCCCCAAACUGAAGUUCAAAGGUAGCAUGAACAAACUUAGAAUAUGAUCUUCUAUGUUGAUGUAUAUACCUGUUGUGAGCAUUCAACACUGUGAAAUGUAUAUACCUGUUGUGAGCAUUCAACACUGUGAAAAUGGCUGAAACCCACAAUUUAAAACUCUCUUUGUAUUAUGAUUACACUUCAGAAAAUAACCAGGUAUGCUUGAAUGGCCAAUAAAGUAUAGGACAUUUAUAAAACCUAUUCCUAUAUACAUCAAAAUAUUUUUAACUGUUAUAAAACCAUAGUCUUCAAACAACUACAAGGAUAUUCUCAUAGUCUAGUUUUAAAACUAGAGCAUUUAACUCAAGUACAUAUAAAUAAGAAAGUGUAAGUGGAUUUUAUAUGUACAUAAAAUAGGGACGUAUUCCCAAGGCAUGGGAAAUCAUCAGCGAUGUAGCUAUCCUUAGUGUAUUCAUGACUAUGUGUUCCAAAAUCGAUAUAAACAUAAUCAGUGGGAAAUUAAAUUCUGAUAGAGCCAAGAGUAUGACUUUGAAAAGCUUUUAAGCAUUUAUCUCCACAAUGAUCUCAUGAGGAGUUCAAGCUUGCUUUUCAAGCAACGACACCGUCAAAGGUUCUAAAAAGCAGUUAUUUAUCAUAGUAUUCAAUCUUUUGCAAAAAUUUCUUGGCAGUUUGACUCAAUAUAAGAAAAAUAAGUUUUCGUGUAAUCACAAAUGGGGAAAUAAAUUAUUAUCUUAAACACCACCUUUAUCUCCCAAUUUAAUUAACAUUCUCCCUCUUAAGGUUAGAAUAAUAACUUGUCUUAUUCUUCACACUAACAUAUUUUAGUUUUUCUGCAAAUAUGAAUGUAAAUGUAAAAACAUGAAAAUUACUUUUAAAAAUAAACUAGAUAACCAACACAACUAUUUUUUAUAUUGCUUCUGUUUUACAGUUUCAGUUCUAUUACCAUGUCUCAGAGGAAUGCUCACAGAUGUGCCUUGCAAGAAGAGCAAGUCAAUGGCAUUGCUAUGUUUGAAAUAAAAAUACACAUUGCUUGAGUGUACAUUAUGUUCAAUAUUUGCUUUAAAAUACCUGUACUUGGACUAUAUAUAAAUCCAUACAUUAGGUAUUAUAAGAAAUAUAAAACUGAAUAAAAUGUAGCCUUUCAUACUCAAGGCUCUUCUAACCUAUGAGUAGAGAUAAAGCACUUCGAGAAUAUAACAAAGUCGUCAGAGAAUUAGAGAGUGCUGUAAAGGUUCAGAAGAUGGAAAGAAUCCCAAAUAUUAGGAAGACUCCAAAGUUUCAUGAACAUUGCUUUUGAUCUGCACAUCAUGAAGAUGAAUCUGUUUUUCAGAAGUGAGAAUAGGGAGGUCAGAAGACGUAUCACACACAAGGACAAGAGAAUCGCCAUACUGGCUGGACGUGGUGGCUCACACCUGUAAUCCCAGCACUUUGGGAGGCCAAUUGCUUGAGGUCAGGAUUUUAAGACCAGCCUGGCAAACAUGGUGAAACCCAAUCUCCACUAAAAAUACAAAAAUUAUUCAGGCAUGGUGGUGUGUGCCUUAGUCCCAGCUACCUGGGAGGCUGAGGCAGGAGAAUUGCUUGAAGCCAGGGUGGAGGUUGUAGUGAGCUGAGAUCGCACAGCACUCCAGCAUGGGUGACAGAGAGAGACUCUGUCUUAAAAAAAAAAAAAAAAAAAAAAUUGCCCCACUAUGACCCCCAUGAGGAACAAGUUCAGCAUGGGAUAGGGAAAGUGAAGGAGUAAAGAUUGAAGGAAAGGCAGAAUGGAGACAGCUUCAAAUGUCAAGCCAACAACUGCAUAUAUAAUUCAAUCAAAUCUCGAGUGACAACGUUUUAACCAGGGGAGUGACAUACAAAUCCAAUAUAGAAAGAGUAAUAUAGGUGCAAAGUAAGUAGGAAAUGCUGAAAUGAUAGGAAAAAGAUAUCAGAAGACGUCUGCAAAAUGACCUAGAGGCCGGCAAGAGAUAAAGACUUAUACUGGAUUCAUGAAAGUGGUUAAGAUUUGAGAGAUAUUAAAAAUGUAAACAGAGCAAUAGAUAACAUGUGAAGAAUGAGAAAAGAAAGUUUGUGUUGAGAUACUGUAAGUUGUUUUUGUUUGUUUGUUUUUAGACACACGGUCUCAUUCAGUCAGUCACCCAGGCUGGAGCGCAGUGGCACAAUCGUAGCGCAUUGCAGCCUCAACUCCUAGGCUCAAGUGAUCCUCCCACUUCCGCCUCCUGGAGUAGCUAGGACUACAGGCACACACCACCACACCCAGCUAAUUUUUUUUUAAGUUUUUUUGGUAGACACAGGGUCUCACUAUGUUGCCCAGUCUGGUUUCAAGCUCCUGGCCUCAAAUGAUCCUCCUGUCUCAGCCUCCCAAAGUACUCAUAUUACAGGCAUGAGCCACCAUGCCCUGCUGUAAAUUGUUUUGAACAGAGGGUGAAAUAGACUCAGGGAGGAGCAUACUGAGUCUGAAAUAGAACAUCCAGGUGGAAGAUCAGCCAUCACUGAGAGCUGCACAAAGGUUAUGAUUAGAGCAUUGACUCAGCUUAGAGAAGGGAGUAAGAGUUCAGAGAGCCACAGGCAAUUCCUAAAGUGAAGAGAACAAUUUUGAAAGGCACCUGCUGAAGAAAACCAAUUAUUCAUCCCUAAAAGGCACUGCCGAUCCUUCACAUUGAACAUCAGAAAAGGUACACUCCUGAAACAAGGUCUCCUAUGGGACAAAGAAAAACUCUAUUCUGUUUUCUUAAACCACUUUAAUGGAAUGCUUCAUUAAUCAUUCUCAGUAAACUAUCGCAAGGACAAAAAACCAAACACCGCAUGUUCUCACUCAUAGGUGGGAA